GUCCUAGCCCUAAACGAUGCUCAUUAGAUGUGGGAGGUAUCGACCCCUUCCGCGUCGCAGCUAACGCAUUAAAUGAGCCGCCUGGGGAGUACGGCCGCAAGGUUGAAACUCAAAGGAAUUGACGGGGGCCCGCACAAGCGGUGGAACAUGUGGUUUAAUUCGACGCAACGCGAAGAACCUUACCUGGGCUUGAACUACUCGUGGUAGGUCGCUGGAAACAGUGGCCGACCCGCAAGGGAGCGAGCAGAGGUGCUGCAUGGUUGUCGU
rnacentral:rRNA from 1 species